GCUGGAAUUGCUGUAAUGGCAGGUCAGCAUACUGCCGUGAAUACGUUCCCGGGCCUUGUACACACCGCCCGUCACACCAUGAGAGUUGGGAAUACCCGAAGCCUGUGAGCUAACUUAUAGAGGCAGCAGUCGAAGGUAGAAUCAAUGAUUGGGGUGAAGUCGUAACAAGGUAUC
rnacentral:rRNA from 1 species